rnacentral:tRNA from 1 species
GCCGUGGGUGGCCCAGCGGGUGUGGCCGAUGCCGAUGGCGCCGGCGAGCGGAUUCUGCAGGAGCUUGAGCUGCAGGUUCGACAGCUUGCCCUCGGCGC